rnacentral:lncRNA from 1 species
GCGGCGGCCGGCAUUCCGGAGCAGCGCGUCGGAGCGGCAACUUCGCGCCCGGGCGCCCGCACCUCGCGGCCCGGCGGGCGGGAGACAAAAGCUGCGGCGCCGCCGGAGGCCGCGCGGCCAAGGCUCGGUGCUGGGCGCUGGGGAUACACAGGUGACCCGGUGGACUUGGUGCCCACUGCCCUGGAGCAGACAGUCUGGUGGACAAGACAGGCACUGAUUGGUGUGAUAUAAGUCACUGUUGCACCAGACCAACUCUGCCUGCCAAAAACAACCCUAAAAUAAAGAGCAUAGAUGAUGACGUCCUUGCUUCAAUGUACCACUUCCCAGCGAUGGGGAAACUGAGAGUCAGAAAGAGAAGUGACCUGCCUAGUACCACAUACAAAUUCCGUGGCCGAGCAGAGUUUGUGGCUCCCUGCCAUCUCUCUACUAGACUUCAGGUAUUUGUGGCCUCCCCAGAUCAUGGGUGAGCCCCAUGAGGGUAGGGGUGAAGCCAUCACCUGCCUCUACGACAGCCUUCAGCACCUAGGACAGGGCCCCUCACAGCCGGGCAACCCUGCUGAGUGAGCGCCGUGGUGGCAGUUCCGGGAAGGAAAUGAUUGAGUAGCAGAUUGGGAACGUGGUGCAGC